GGAAAGGAUCUUUUCUAGAGAUCCCUCCAUGGUGGAGCUUUUCUCUGCAAUCCUGGAAUCUUCUGAUAUGGCCAGGUCCAUCAUCCAUUGAAGGCUCUGAAUGACUCACAUUGAUUCCCAUGGGCUUGAAUGAGGGAAUCAUCCAAGCCCUCACUGAAGGUACUGAGAGAUGGACUGGUUCCUUGGUGUGUAUAUCUCAACUUCUGCUUAUGGCAGUGGCUUUCAAAUAUUUUCAACUUCUGGACCUCUGGCAUUCAUCUAGUGAAGCUCUUCUUUGAAAUGUGGUACUGAUUACUGGGAAUGGAGCUUCACUUAUAAUUUUGGCAGCACUAGUGAGAGAAGAAGGAUUGUUGCACUUUUCCAACAGAAAUAUUUGUACUAUGUUAUAUGAUGUCCCCUUCCCUUCAAUCCCACCUGCAUGGUAUCAUAUGCAGUUUGUAAAUCACUACUAUUUUCAAAGACUUUUCUGCAGAAUUGAUUAUUCUCUGUCUUGAAUUUUUGCAUGUGGCUAUUCCUGACUUUGUUUAGAGCCAUUGUCCAUACUAAACUGCAUCUCGCUUUGUUUUUAAAGCCAUCUGACCACUUUCUUUGUCAGUCUGCCAUCUAGUUUUCAGUGUGCCUGCAGCUCCUCCAACCUUUUCCAUUGCUUAAAAUUGUAACAGGAAAUUUUAU